UGUGAAGUUUCAAGAGAAAAGGUUUGAGGAGCUCGCAGAGUCUGAUGGUAUUUACAGAUGUGUCCUAGGACAUCAAAAAUCGAGGAUGGAAGAAACCUAAUAGCGUAGUCAGAGGAAGCCUUCCGCUCUUCCAAAAAACACCACUCCCUCUGUUUCUCAAAGUUAACGUAUUCAUUCUUAUUCCCCAGAGAUAGUGGCUGCAGAGGGCAAACAGCAUCUUAAUGUUGUCGCUAAUGGGGGAAAUAGAACUAGGAUAUACACGAAUAACAGCAAGAUAUGUGAUAAAUGCUGGAAGAGGUGCAAAGAACGAGGGAGGUGGAGCUUCUUUGGAUCAGCAACCCGGUCAUCGAGUCCCAAUAUAAAAGCUCCUGCCACAAACCUCUCAGGUUGGCCGACUUCCACCUCAGAAGGUGCCAAAUGGUAUUGUCUCUCCCAAAUACCUCCUCUCAUUGGUUUCAGGAUGAUUCUAAAUGUUAGAGGAUUUUCUGAGCUGAAGUAUGUUACUUUGCAGUUUCCGUUGGUUUCAUUUCUACACUUGGGAGACAUAGAAUAAACAUUUGUUGAACACCUACUGUGUGCCAAACACCAACCUAGAAGAUUCUAAAACAAGUAACACCUGGAAUCUGUCUAGUGGAGGACUCAGACAGUCCAGGACAAAGUCCAAAAAGUGACAUUGCUGGGCCUGAACAACCACUCCUAAAGUGUUGGAAUUAGGCAGAUGGAUUAAGGGAGAGCAACACCAGCGAACAGAAAUUCUUUAAUGUCUCACCCUGAGCCCCAUGGUGGAUAAGUCUCAAAGCCGGCCCUAUAGCAGAAGGCAGUGCUCAGAUCACUGAUGGCAGUGGAAGAGAAGAGCCUCGAAUGCCAUGAUCAGUAAGACCUCUCUGCAGGCACGCUCAGCUUUCUUGUCUCUCUGGCUGGCAGGGCUUGUACCCCCAGGAUCACUGCUGGUGACUUCCUCCAGGGUUUGCGUCAUUUAAAAUUAUUUGGACGUCUUCAAGGGACCUGCGGGACAAUCACACUAUCCCUCUGCAGGGUCCUUUCUCCCAGUUUGUACUCUGCAGUUCAACCCAGUAGCUUCCCAGCAGCAUAUUUAUACUCUUCUCUUAGACUCUUUUCUUCUUUUCUGUAGUCGGGUCAGUUUUAGAACUGCUAUCCACGUGAUUAUUAAUAAUAAAAGAGACCUGAUGCCACCACAACGCUUCAAAAGUGAUGUACCUUGCCGUUCUCUUAAUCCUGGAUGUGUUGGAUUGAUUACAAAUCAAAGAAGCCUACGUAAUAAUGGCUAUUGGGCACAUAAAUACCUCUCAGUUCUGAAGUAGCUGCUAACGCUGCUGACAAGUACAUGAUUCAGGCCUUCUGUUUCUCUUUGUUGUAUGAAUCGUGAGCUUUCUUGGGUUUAAAACGGUUUCAGAAAAUGUGGAUGGAAGGAAGCGAUUACGCAAGGUUCUUUAUUCUUAUGUAAGGCAUUGUAAUAGGAGCCUUCUCUUGUGAGAGCCCGGAUAGCUCAGUCGGUAGAGCAUCAGACUUUUAAUCUGAGGGUCCAGGGUUCAAGUCCCUGUUCGGGCGCUUUGCUUUAACUUCCGCCUUCCUUU